AACGAACGCUGGCGGCAUGCCUAACACAUGCAAGUCGAACGAGACCUUCGGGACUAGUUGCUCACGGGUGCGUAACGCGUGGGAACCUGCCCUAAGGUUCGGAAUAACUCCCCGAAAGGGGUGCUAACACCGGAUAAUGUCUUCGGACCAAAGAUUUAUCGCCUUUGGAUGGGCCCGCGUUGGAUUAGCUAGUUGGUAGGGAAAAAGCCUACCAAGGCGUCGAUCCAUAGCUGGUCUGAGAGGAUGAUCAGCCACACUGGGACUGAGACACGGCCCAGACUCCUGGGGGACGGCGGAGUGGGGAAUAUUGGAAUAGGGGCGAGAUCCUGAUCGCACUAUGGCGCGUGAGUGGUGGAGGCCUGAGGGUUGUAAAGCUCUUUUACCCGAGGUGGUAAUGACGGUACCGGGAGAAUAAGCACCGGCUAACUCCGUG
rnacentral:rRNA from 1 species